rnacentral:misc_RNA from 1 species
GUGAAUCAUCAAAUUUUUGAACGCAGAUUGCACUCUCCGGUUUUCCGGGAGAGUAUGCCUGUUUGAGGGUCAGCCUAAAAAAAAUCGACAUUGUUGCUGUUAUUUAAUGGUGACUUUCGUCGGAGAUUGGGUUAUCUUAAACCUUUUUUUUUUUUUUGGUUUAAGCGACUUAAAUUUUUUCUUCCCGUUUCCUUAAACGUUUCUAAGUUUUUUUUUUUUUUUACGUUUAAGGUUUUUCGAUCUUUUUUUAGACUUACCC